rnacentral:rRNA from 1 species
UACGUAGGGUGCAAGCGUUGUCCGGAAUUAUUGGGCGUAAAGAGCUCGUAGGCGGUUUGUCGCGUCUGCUGUGAAAACCCGAGGCUCAACCUCGGGCCUGCAGUGGGUACGGGCAGACUAGAGUGCGGUAGGGGAGAUUGGAAUUCCUGGUGUAGCGGUGGAAUGCGCAGAUAUCAGGAGGAACACCAAUAGCGAAGGCAGCUCGCUGGGCCGUAACUGACGCUGAGGCGCGAAAGCAUGGGGAGCGAACAGG